rnacentral:rRNA from 1 species
AUUGAACGCUGGCGGCAGGCCUAACACAUGCAAGUCGAGCGGAUGAAGGGAGCUUGCUCCUGGAUUCAGCGGCGGACGGGUGAGUAAUGCCUAGGAAUCUGCCUGGUAGUGGGGGAUAACGUCCGGAAACGGGCGCUAAUACCGCAUACGUCCUGAGGGAGAAAGUGGGGGAUCUUCGGACCUCACGCUAUCAGAUGAGCCUAGGUCGGAUUAGCUAGUUGGUGGGGUAAAGGCCUACCAAGGCGACGAUCCGUAACUGGUCUGAGAGGAUGAUCAGUCACACUGGAACUGAGACACGGUCCGAACUCCUACGGGAGGCAGCAGUAGGGAAUAUUGGACAAUGGGCGAAAGCCUGAUCCAGCCAAGCCGCGUGUGUGAGGAAGGUCUUCGGAUUGUAAAGCACUUUAAGCUGGGAGGAAGGGCAGUAAGUUAAUACCUUGCUGUUUUGACGUUACCAACAGAAUAAGCACCGGCUAACUUCGUG